rnacentral:rRNA from 1 species
GACGAAGGGGGCUAGCGUUGUUCGGAAUUACUGGGCGUAAAGCGCGUGUAGGCGGUUGCCCAAGUAGGGUGUGAAAGCCUUGAGCUCAACUCAAGAAAUGCACUCGGUACUGGGUGACUAGAGGACCGGAGAGGAUAGUGGAAUUCCCAGUGUAGUGGUGAAAUACGUAGAGAUUGGGAAGAACACCAGUGGCGAAGGCGGCUAUCUGGACGGUUUCUGACGCUAAGACGCGAAAGCGUGGGGAGCAAACAGG